UACGUAGGUGGCAAGCGUUGUCCGGAUUUACUGGGCGUAAAGGGCGUGCAGGCGGUUUGUUAAGUGCAGGGUGAAAGCUCCCGGCUCAACUGGGAGAGGUCCUUGCAUACUGGCAAACUCGAGGGAGGCAGAGGAAAGUGGAAUUCCCGGUGUAGUGGUGGAUAUGCGUAGAUAUCGGGAGGAACACCUGUGGCGAAGGCGGCUUUCUGGGCCUUACCUGACGCUGAGA
rnacentral:rRNA from 1 species